AACACUCUCUUUACGGUAGUGUGACAUCAGAGCUGACGUCCAUCCAAACCACUCAGAGCAGUGGCAGCUCUCAGAUUUCAUUUUCUGAGUAGGAUGAAUUGCUCAUUGCAUCAUUGCAUGCUUAAACCUGUCCUACAGUCCUGUGCUUGAGGGGAAGGAUGAAUUUGCGUUAUGGAGGAAAAUGAGUUAACAUUACUGGAAAAGCAUUUCAUUUCAUGUGGAGGAUGUCUGUUAUGCAAUCUCUCACUUUCACUGGAAGCAGGAGGGCUAUAAAAGAGCCCUAGGAUCAGCUUCUUAUCUGAGAACUCCUGAAGCACUUGACACAAGAGGUCUCCUGAAUUUCUCUUUUUAAUUUAUUUUAUUUUAAUUAAAAAAUAAUGAAACCCUCAGCUCUAGCUAUCUCUUUUUUAACUUGUGCUCUCUUGGUAAUUACGGAAGCAGGACUUCCACCCAUACAGCACCGAUGUCGGUGUACAGAAACAGUGGAUAAAGAAAUCGCUGAUAAUAGAAUUGUGACGCUGGAGAUUUUUCAACCUGGUCCUCACUGCAAAGAUACAGAAGUAAUCGCUACAAUAAAAUUCCGUAAAGUAUUUACAUUGUGCCUCAACCCCAAAGACGCAUGGGUUCAGAAGGCCCUCAAAAAAAGGAACCUGGCACCAUAAAAUGCUACUGCAUUGAAGAUGGCUGAACAAGAAAAGAAAGAAGAGCUGAAGAUGCAAAAACGUCUUAACAUCCUCCGUGUUUCUUUACUCAUCAUAUGAGUAAUUAUCUAAGUGCUCACAGAGUAUUUUUAUACAAUCGUCUGUAUCUAAUAAAACCAACAGAUUUCUAUUUUUAAUUGCAACAAUUU